UGAGCAGUAGAGGGAUGAACAAGCAGCAAUGAAGAAGGUUGUUAAGGAUUAUAAGUACAUACUUAUAUCACUCCUGCUUUACAAUUUAUAAACACGUUAAGUCUGAGAGGAUUGAUGCAGCCCUCACUAACUGAGUAUGUGCUACAAAGGAAAUACUUCUGCUGCCUUGAUAUAGUGGGAGUACAAAUAUUUUUAAAACAUGCCAUAUAACUACCAGAACAUUUUCUUCAGCUGUUUUUACAAUUUACAGAAACAUCAUGAGGUUCAAAAUAUUACCCUUGCAGGCAAGGUGCACAUAUCAAAUCAUAAGCCGAUCAUUCUUUUUCUUGGCUUACAGGCUUUUGUUUCAUUGUAAAAUAAACCUCACUGGUAAGAAGCCAAAGGAUUUAAGUUAAUUAGAUGUCUAAAAGGUAAAGGAAGUCGUAUCAGAAGUGCUGUAAGACAACAUGAAAAUGAUAAAAGUACCUUCCUCCAGUGAUUAGAAAGUAAGGUAGACACUGACCUUUACAAUUAUUUUUUCUCCCAGGAAUAGAACAAUACAACCCUUAUUUUCUUCAUGAUGAUCUAAGACUUACUUUUUUUUUUUUUUUUUAAAUAAUGCUGCUCACCUUCCUCAUACACAGGUCCUGUGUCAAGUGCACACUUGCCUAGCCUAAAAAUACACUGGAAGGGGUAGACCCCAACACUUAACAAAUUUGUCAUCAAAGUCAAAGAAACAAUGACAAAUCACACUAGCUGAGAAUCUGCACAACUGUGUCUAACAGAGAGUGAAUACAAAUGUAUACAGCACCCAAUUUAUAAAAUAUAAUGGUUACUAACUAGACUAUAAAAGUAUAAAACCCUGCAAUUUAAAGAAAGAAGAGUAUGGCAUUAGAUAGAAAAAUGUGCUAGAUGUGUGGCCCUAUGUCUCUCCCUAUCCUGCUGCAAGUUUCAGAUUUUGUGACCUUUAUAUUUUGUACUGAAUUCUGAGCAAGACAGAAAUAAAACCACAAAGUCUGUUCUGAACAUGUGACUACUGAACAUACGAAGAAAUAUUUCUUCAUCUCAUGCUCAGACCUCUCACCCUCAUACUGAAAUGUAUGUAGGGCAAGUCUCAAAAUAAAUCUUGGUAGUUGAGCAGCAUCCACUAUCUCUACUUACGAUGAAGGAUGCUUCUACUGGGUUCAUGCUGACUUGGUAGCCUGUUGCUUACUCAUCUUACUGCUCCAGUCUAUGUCUGUACACUCUGUACCACUCUAAAUCUUCUUCCCUGGCACAAAGGUCCAAUACACCUCUUGUACAAUCACUGUACUCAUGGCCUGCCUUCACAUGGGACACAGGACUCCAGCAGUACUCACAGCAAAUUGUGCAGAUCUCUCUCAUCAAUAAAUUUCAACAGCAAGGAACAGUGCCCAGUAGUGAGCUUGAAUAUUAUAUGUAUGCUGGCAUAGCAAAGCACAACAGGUGAAUUAAGAAUGAAAUUUAUAAUCCCAGCUAACAAACAUUCAUGCUUUUGUUGGUUUAAAUUAGGGCUGUCAAAUGAUUUAAAAAGUUGAUUGCAAUUAGUAGCACGAUUAAAAAAAGUGACAAUUAAUCAUUUGACUUACGCAAACUGAUCAACUAGCUAACAAUGCUGUAGUGACUAGUUAAAAAAUGCCAUAUUAUGUCCUGAACUUUGUUCCUCAGGAAAAAAAGAAUGAACCAUAUAAAAGUAGGUUUUAUAACAAAAUUUUAGAAGAAUUGAUUUUUUUUUCUAAUAACAAAGUUGCAAUAUUUUGUAAUAACUCGUAUUCAGUAAAAGAACAGGAAGAAAAAACACAAUUCUGUCCAUAUUUCUGGCUGAAAAUUUAGGACACUUCUUGCAGAAAUAUGGAGUGCUGAAUUAAAUGUGAUAGCACAUGAAAUGAAAGCAGUAACCAGAGGUCAGCUCAUACCAGUUCAGUUUGGCUUCUGCAAAAUUAGUUGCCUACAAUGAUUCAUUGCCAAAAUUCAAAGACAACAGACUUCCAUUUAUCAACUCAGUUUUUUCUUCCUAACAGAUUAUUAUUAUUAAGAUCUCGAAGAAAGAAUGCUUUCAAUAUUUUUUCAGCUACAAAUAAAGAAAAUAUUUCUCAGCUGAAAAUCCAAGUUAGACCUUUUCAGGUAAGUAUUAUGCAGUAAUGUACAUAGCUUUCAACUAAUAGGCAUAGAUUUCACAGGAUAGGUUUUGGACACUGCUAAUAAUAAUACAGUUAAACUGAGGGCACACAACAGUGCACUUCAGUGGUCUACCUAGAAAUGGAGGUCCACAACUGCAUUUGUGAUCAGAGACUCUUGCAGAGAAACCCGCUUUGAAUCUGAUGCAAGAUGAAGUUCCACAAUUGAUUAUUAAAAUAUGGUAAUUAGAGCCACUCUCCUAGACUCAAGUUCUCCAUUCCAGCCAAGGAUAAUUUGGCAAUGAAUCCAAAAUGGGAAACAUAAAAGCAGCUUUAAAUUACUUUAGUGCUUCUCCAAUUCUGUGACUACCCAGAUGCUUACUCAAAACCCCAAGACUGAUAAUGAACCUCAAAGGCUAUAAUGGCAGCCAGGGAUCUACCUGGUUCUGGUCACAGCUCCUUUUUUCCUGAUGUAGCAGCUGAGAGGGGGCAGGUGUCAUAGAAGCAUUUAUGGUAGUGGGUUCCUUUGGCAGCUAAAACUAUGGUAAGUAUGUGGCCUGUUAAGCAAAGUUCAGAACAACUUUGCAGUUUGAGCAGUGCAAACACUCCUAAUGGACCACUGAACAAAAGCCCUUUGGAGGGAAUUCACAAGAGGAGAGUUUGUCUCUGCUGAAGUAACACCAGGGGCAAACGAAGAUUUUUUAAACAGUGGAAAAGAAUUACAAUGAAUAAGCAGGCAAAAUUUGAAAUAUCAGCUCUAUUAUUGCAUUUGUUUGUCAAAGACUCAUUGCUAUUCAUAGAUAGCUAAUAGAGACUAGAACGGGAGUGGUGGUGGAGUACAAAACUAGGAUUGGCUCAGCAAAGAGACUCAGUGCCAAGGAACGAAGGGGAAAAGGCUAAGACCCAACAGGUAGAAAGAAAUUAAGGUCAGAUAAGAAUCCAAGAUGCAAAGUAAGAACACCACAUGCAAUAAAUGAUGCAGGAGUCCUAUGGACAAAAUAUAAUGUGAUAAUAUAAUCAUAAGUCUAUCAUAAUAUAUAUGCAGAAGGACCAAUUAAGGUUGCACAUGCAUUUCUUGAGUACUUGACCGUGUUAGCUCAAUGUUCUCUUAACACGUGUGCCACAAGUGGUACAGGCAACCUCUGUGUGGCACACAGCAGAUCAUGAAUGGGACAGGCAGCACAGCUGCAGCUAGAGCAGGAAGUAGAAAUCAAAGCAGCAGAUCAAACAGG